rnacentral:rRNA from 1 species
UGCACAAUGGGCGAAAGCCUGAUGCAACCAUGCCGCGUGUGUGAAGAAGGCCUUCGGGUUGUAAAGCACUUUCAGUUGUGAGGAAAGGUUAGUAGUUAAUAACUGCUAGCUGUGACGUUAGCAACAGAAGAAGCACCGGCUAACUUCGUGCCAGCAGCCGCSGUAAUACGAGGGGUGCAAGCGUUAAUCGGAAUUACUGGGCGUAAAGCGUUCGUAGGCGGUUUGUUAAGCAAGAUGUGAAAGCCCGGGGCUCAACCUGGGAACUGCAUUUUGAACUGGCAAACUAGAGUACUGUAGAGGGUGGUGGAAUUUCCAGUGUAGCGGUGAAAUGCGUAGAGAUCUGGAAGGAACAUCGAGUGGCGAAGGCGGCCACCUGGACAGAUACUGACGCUSAGGKACGAAAGCGUGGGGAGCAAACAGGAUUAGAUACCCUGGUAGUCCACGCCGUAAACGAUGUCAACUAGCCGUUCGUAGACUUGAUC